rnacentral:rRNA from 1 species
AUGUGCACUAUUUGUGGCUGGGAGGAUGAAAGUAUUUAUCAUGCGCUGGUUAAUUGUCCUAAGGCGCGAGCUUUUCGUUUUGCCAUGAGAGAUGCGUGGAAUAUUCCUGGAGAAGAGUUUUUCAGAUGUACAGGGCCAGACUGGUUUCUUAUUCUGCUUGACCAAUUGGGGUCAUCAGUACUAGAGCAAGUUACGUUCAUGUUCUGGAGAGCUUGGCACCUGAGGAAUGAUCUGAUCUUUGGAAGUGGGAAAGAAUCAUUAUCUAACUCUGUUAUCUUUGUGGGAAACUAUUGGAACUCCUUUACCACGGCAAAUACAUGUGUGUGUGCAAGUGGAUUUGAGCAACAAAGGUAA